GAUGAAGAACGUAGCGAAAUGCGAUAAGUAAUGUGAAUUGCAGAAUUCAGUGAAUCAUCGAAUCUUUGAACGCACAUUGCGCCCGCCAGUAUUCUGGCGGGCAUGCCUGUUCGAGCGUCAUUUCAACCCUCAAGCCCCCGGGCUUGGUGUUGGGGAUCGGCGUGCCCUCGCGGCGCGCCGUCCCCUAAAUCUAGUGGCGGUCUCGCUGUAGCUUCCUCUGCGUAGUAGCAACACUCGCACUGGAUCGCAGCGCGGCCACGCCGUUAAACCCCCCACUUCUGAAAGUUUGACCUCGGAUCAGGUAGGGAUACCCGCUGAACUUAAGCAUAUCAAUAAGCGGAGGA
rnacentral:misc_RNA from 1 species